rnacentral:other from 1 species
UUCAUCCAAAAGGGAUAUCAAUAUAUUUCCGACAUAUUGAUAUAAGGGAGAUUGGACGUUGCGCUUUGGUGUGAAGGCUCACUUAUAGUGAGAAUCCCGAUAAGAGCACAGAUCACCCACCUGUAAUUAACAGGGAAUACUAUGACCCUUUUGGUUUUUU